ACCGCCAGCACCUUGGCGAUGUAGGGGAUCAGCGGCAGGUUCAGGAUCAGCAACACGAGGUUGCCGAUGAACAUCGACAUGAUGACCGCCCAGAAGAUCUGUGGCUCAUCAAUCAUCAGACGCGGGCC
rfam:Ruegeria sp. ANG-R contig_11, whole genome shotgun sequence.